UGUCUCACUUCCUUCUACGCUACAUCCCCUAUCCUCCAGACAGUCAAACUACAACUUCUCUUUGCAUUUCUGCUCCCCUGCCAUUUAUGCCUUCCCCCAAAAUAUUUAUUUAUGGGUCUUUACCCUAUUCUCAGGAGUAAGCAAAUCACCAAAUCAUGAGGCCCAGGAAGGCUGUGUUAGGCUCUGAAACUUUCAAUUGUCUAUUUCAGAUCAAAUACAGAACAUGUUCUUCCUCCUGCUAGUGUUGAACCUAGGAUCGCAGCUUCAUCAGGCAGCAGGUAAGAAAAGACAAAGGGAGGGAGGGGU
rnacentral:lncRNA from 1 species